rnacentral:lncRNA from 1 species
UGGAAAAGUGUAAGGACUGUAGUGGUGAGAUGUGUGUUCCAGACUCUCUGGAUUCAAAUCCCAGCUCUGCUACUUAUGACAGAUAUAGGAAAUAUUAAUAUUUAUACCACCCAUGGGAUACUGGGGUGUGGCUGCUUCUAGCAGGAGGUCAUCAGCCAGCCUCCCAGGAGGUUCAGCUCCCAGGCUCCGUCCAGCUGCCCAGUGGCUGCGGCUCAGCAUCUCCAUUGCCUGUAACCCACUCACGGCACACCAGCACCCAUGGCACACAGCACCCGGGCACGGCUCACGGCACACAGCACCCGGGCACCGCUCACGGCACACAGCACCUGGGCAAGGCGGCUGGAAGGCGCUGACGUCUGCUGCAGACCCCCGGACACAGAGCUCCACUUCUUCUUAUUCUCUGUUAAUUGA